rnacentral:tRNA from 1 species
CGGGGCGUGGCGCAGCAUGGCUAGCGCACCUGCUUUGGGAGCAGGGGGUCGGCGGUUCGAAUCCGCCCGCCCCGA